rnacentral:rRNA from 1 species
GAUGAACGCUGGCGGCGUGCCUAAUACAUGCAAGUCGAGCGAACGGACGAGAAGCUUGCUCUUCUUAUGUUAGCUGCGGACGGGUGAGUAACACGUGGAUAACCUACCUAUAAGACUGGGAUAACUUCUGGAAACCGGAGCUAAUACCGGAUAAUAUUUUGAACCGCAUGGUUCAAAAUUGAAAGACGGUCUUGCUGUCACUUAUAGAUGAAUCCGCGCUGCAUUAGCUAGUUGGUAAGUUAACGGCUUACCAAGCCACCGAUGCAUAGCCGCCCUGAGAGGGUGAUCGGCCACACUGGAACUGGGACACGGUCCAGACUCCUACGGGAGGAAGCAGUAGGGAAUCUUGCGCAUUGGGGGAAAGCCUGACGGAGAAACGCCGCUUGAGUGAUGAAGGUUUUCGGAUCUAAAAACUCUGUUAUUAGGGAAGAACAUAUGUGUAAGUAACUGUGCACAUCUUGACGGUACCUAAUCAGAAAGCCACGGCUAACUACGUG